rnacentral:lncRNA from 1 species
UUAUUCAUGAAAUUGCUCAGAACAUUUUCAAUAGGCUGAAUCGUAAACACUUACAUAUUGAUGGCCAUCUGGUUGGAAUGGAUUCUUGUUUGGAAGAAAUGACUUCACUACUAUGUAUGGAUUCAAAUGAUGUCCGCAUGAUAGGAAUACAUGGAAUUGUUGAAAGGGCCUUAUUUCUGUAGUUCAAUCUCUUGGACACAUGGUAGAGACAGAGUUGUAGAGACUAAUCACAUGUGGCUGAUAUAUCUACCUCACACUCACUUUGUGAAAUCAAAGUCUAGUUGUGCCAAUGUAUUCAGGAUUAAGGCUUGUUUUGGUCUAGUUGGGGCACCCCAUGUGGUGCAAAAGUGUGGGAUCAGUCUUAUGAGAAGCGGUUCAGGAUGAAGAACCAAAUGGAACUUAGUGGUUGUUGUUGCACUAAGGAACUCACUGGCCUUCAAAUGGGAACGGGCAUGCAAUUUUGUUAAAUUAAACUUUCUUCUAAUUUAUCAAAACAAAACAAUACAAAUGGUCGCUCAAUGUAGCUUCUUGAUGAUCACUACAUGUUAAUUGAAUACGUCUUUGUUGUUUCUCUAAGAGUGCUUACUCUUCACAAAUUAAGGUGGUAUUUUUGUUGGACUGGUGAUUAUUUAUAAGGAGGCCCAAGAAAAAAGGUAUUCCUAUAAUUUUUUUGCUCUUAUAUAAAAAAAAAACUAGGGGUUUGGAUCCCUACCAUUAAUUAGGCAAUCUAUGUCAUAAUUGGGCAAUACCAUUUAAGUGUACGAAUCACCGAAUAAAAAAUCUAAAUGACAUCUAAAGGAUAUUCGUGUACCGAUCGACCAUCAUAUGAAGCGGUUGCAAUUUUUUUGGAACCGAUAGACACUGGCCAUUUUGGUGCUUCAUCAUAAGAAAUGACAGUGUCUAUCGGCUGAGAAAAUGGGUCAACCGGUAGCAUUUAACCAGUUGGCCGCUUCAUAGAUAAUGAAGUAAGAUGUUAAAGUGUUGGAUUCAUGCAUAUAUUGUUUUCCACUUAUUAGAAAUUAGUUUUUGUGGGCAUGUGAUUAGGUAAAACCUCUUAUGGCUUGGAUAGUAUUUAAAUGAGUCCAUUACACUUAAGGGGUGUUCAAAUGAUGCCCGGAAAAAUCAAACUUCAAAAAUACUUCAAAAUUAGAAAAAUGUACGAAUAAUGUGAGGAAUCCUCUAAGUGUGCACUGUUUCUAUAGAUUUAAAAAAAAAAAAAAAAAAAGGACGCGUGUGCAUUAGAGGAAGACUUUUAUAAUAUAUAUAUAUAUAUAUAUAUAUUAGUAAUAAUGGAGAAUUAUUGGGAUACAGAUUAUGUUUGGUAAAAAAAAAAAUCGAGAAAGUGAGAGAAUAGAAGUUUUAAAUAAAAGGAAGUAAAGUUUUUGGUAUUAUAAUUAGACUAAUGAUGGGUGUAAGUUAAUAAAUAGCAUAGAAUUUAAUUAGUGAAAUAAAUUGUAAUUUAAUUAAAUUAUGUUGUAUCCCAAGAAAUAAAUUGAAAAUAAAAUUUAAGUUUUAUAUGAAUUAGAAAUUUAUUAAUUUUUCUAAAAAUAGGAAUAGAUUAAUUAUAUUUCCUAAUUAAAAACAUUAAUUUGAAUAUCUAAAAUUUUAGGAUUGUCAAACCUAAAAUUUUAGAUAAAUAGUAAUGCUUAUUUUUCUUAUACUUUGUUAAGUAAAGAGUAAAUUUUUCAGGAUUAUUUUUCUCCAAAGUUUUGGAGGACUUAUUUUGAGGUAAGGAAAAUUAAUGCAAAUUUUGCAAAGGGAAAUAUAUAUCUAUAUAUAUAUAUAUAUAUAUAUAUAUAUAUAUAUAUAUAAUAGGGAAAAAUGUGUUUCCAUAUACUCAUAUGAAAAAAAAAUUAUAAAAUAGGAAUUCAAGUUUAUAAAAUAUAAAUUUUAAGCAAAUAUUUAAAAAUAAUUAGCAUUUUAUGUAUUUUUUUGGUCAAAGGUACUACAUUUGACAUUUGAGCUACUUAUAGAAUUUUUAAAUAUUUUAAUUAGUAUUGAUAUUAAUAGAGAAAUACAAAUUAUUUACUAAAAAUUAAAUAUUCUGGAGAGAUCUCAAAAUAAUGCUAAAUAUGAGAGAUUUUAUGGUUUUGUAAUACCAAAUAUUGAGAAAUAAAAUAUUUAUUUAAAGAAUGCUAGAUCAUUAUAUUAAAUGUUUUACACUCUUUUUAUUUUCGUUUUAAAAAUUAAAUAUAAAUAUGGUAUGAUAUAUCUCAUCCUAGAUUUCAUCAACAAACUAAAUUAAGAAGUAAUUUCUUUUGUUUAAUAUCUUGAUUUUUUUAUUAUUUAAACUUAUUUAUUCAUUUUAGGACUUUUUUUUACUCAAUUUAAUUAAUAGAAAUUUGAAAAUAAUUAAAAUUAAUUAAGUUUUUUUAUAUAAAAAUAUUUAAAAGUUUUAGUUACCACUAUUAAGAGAUAAUUAUGCUUUAGGAGUAAAUAAAUAUGAUAAUGGGCUAAAGUCCAUAAAAUGUGUAAAAUUCAGCUCAAAAGUUAACAAACAUUUAUAAUUAAAUUAAACAAUUUGAUUUUCUCAUAUUGUAAAAAAGACCUUGAGGACGUAGAAAUUAUAUAAAAUGAAUUUAUAUUAUAUGGUUGCGUUGUAUCAUAUAAAAUGCAUCAUACUUGUUUUUUUUUUUCUUUAGGCUUUUAAUUCUCUAGUGAUUUAUUUUUUAAAAUGAUAAAAUAAAUAAAUUAAACCUACUUGCAAAGUAAAAUUUUGAUUGAAAAGAUUAUUUGAAUCUAUAACUUUAAAUUAUAUUUCAAAAUACAAUUUAAAAUGAAAUUGUUAAAAUUAUUUUUUAAAUGAUUAUAUGAUUUUUUUAUUUCAUAUAAUAACAUUAUAUAUCGUAUGAAAAUUCUAAAAUAUAUGAAAAAAAAUCUUUAAAAAACAGUUAUUUCUAUUUUUCAAAUAUAUGAAAAUUAUAUUUGUAGACCCAUCUUGUGGACAAGGGAUUUUUCUUACCACCUCGGGAGAGUUGGGCAUCUCUAUAGAAGGGAAUGGGGGAUGGUUUCCAUAGGAGCUGCAUGCAUGGGACGUGUGGCAAAGACAUGACCACCUUGCCAUGGUGGUGGUUGAAAUAGAUGUGUGGUGGUUGAAAUAGAGACAUCUAUGAACAAGGAGUAGUAGAACGGGUGGAGAACGUUGAGGGAAGAAGCAGAGUGGGUGUAGGCUUGGAAGGAAAGCAAAAAAGAAAAAAAAAUAAAUAAAUAAAGGAGUACUGGCGAGGAAUAGAGGAGAUUUAGAGCAAAAAAAAAAAAGUGAGAGAUGAGGGGGGUCAAGACUUUUUGGAGAGAGCUUGAGAAAUGGAGUUGGAAGCUGGACUCGAAGGGAGACCUAUCAGGGACUACUAUAACGUCUUUUCUUCUCCAGCUUUAAUGGCGUGAGGCCACCGUACCUGUAUGUAUCUACGCUACAUGUAACCAUAUACAAUCCUCCAUAUUUGCAUGCCUCACCAACUCCUUCACAGAAAAAUACCCAAAAUCCAAAUGAGAUGAUUUCAAAAUGAAAUGCAAUUGAAAUUCAUCGCCAAAACCACCUUUAUUUCAGUGUUGAUUGCGACCUAGAUGAUAAAAACUGGUAAUCGCUUCUGGGUAUAUGUUGUUUUCCCCUCCCGUGAUCGUUAUCUGAUGUGGGUUGUAUGUUUUUUUUCUUGAAUUUGUGCGUUUUGUUUUGGUUGGUGUGGCUUUUCUUUGCUUUUUUGUUGUUCUGUUUUAUUUGUUUGUUGUUGUUUGAUGUUUGAGAGAGUUGGGAUUGAGAGGAAAGUGGGGGAGAAGAUGAAGGACGAUGAAGAGCUUGAAAGGUUGUUGGGUGAGAUCCCUCAUGCAACAUCAAACAAUCAUCAUCAUCAGCAUCAACAAGAUGACACUAGUGGUAAUCAUCAUCAUUGUGUUCAUGGCCUCAAUGGUGGGCAUGGUCAUGGGUCAUUUGUUUCUCCACAGCUAAGGAAGCUCAUGUGGCUGACCUUCACUAGAUUGCCACAAUGAGGUGUAUGGUGGCUAAGGAAGAGUGAAAAUGGUGGCUAAACAAAUAAGGAGAGAGUUUUUCGAAAUGCUUCUCACCGACAAGUUCUUUGUAGUUCAUUGUUCUUUCGGGGACGGCUAUCAAUGCUCAUCACUGUGCUCGGAACUCUGGGGUGCUUCAAGUGCAGUUCCAAUCCCACCUUCGUACCCUUUGGACCCCACCUUUGCACCCCGGACCCACACUCAUGCAUGGCCACAUUUGGCAUGCAAUCCCAACGACCACAUCUCAUCCUUUUUUAAUUUUUCAUCUUUUGAUAUCAAAGUUUAAUUUUUCAAAAUUCCAAUUUUCAAAUCUAAUUUUCAAAAUCUCUGUUUUCAAAUAAUUUUCUAAAAUUUCAAUUUUCAAAUUUAAUUGUCAAAACUUUCAUAUUUAAAUAAUUUUCCAAAAUUCAAAUUUUCAAAUUUAAUUUUUUAAAACUCCAAUUUUCAAAUAUUUUUUCAAAAUUCCAAUUUUCAAAUCUAAUUUUCAAAACUUCAAUUUUCAAAUAAUUUUCAAAACUCCCCAAAUAAUUUUUAAAACUCCAAUUUUCAAAUCAUUCUUCAAAAUUCCAAUUUUCAAAACUUCUAUUUUCAAAUAAUUUUCCAAAAUUCCAAUUUUCAAAUUUAAUUUUCAAAACUUCAAUUUUCAAAACUCCAAUUUUCAAAUAAUUUUUUAAAAUUCCAAUUCUCAAAUUUAAUUUUCAAGAUUUCAAUUUUUAAAACUCUAGUUUGUUUUUCAAAUAAUUUUAAUUCCAUACCGGUUUUCAAAUAAUUUUAAGUUCUUUCUUUUCUUCUUCCUUCCUUAGGGUUUAGAGUCACCAAAAAUCUCGUUUUUAAUAAACUUACCACAUUUCCCUUCAAGUAAGCACUUUCACAAAUUUUCUUUGAUCUCCAAAUAAUUUUCCGGUUUUCUCGAUUUUUAAUAAGCAUGAAUGAAUUUUUCAUAAUUUCAAAUAAUGGAACUCAUUGAACCAAUUCAUACAAAAGUAAUUUGGGCUUUGGUGGGGGGCUAACAUCCAUUAUAUUUUCUUUAAAAAUAAUUCAAGUGAAGUGCAUGAUUGAUAUUGUUUGAUUUUGACCAAUUUUGUGUGAGAUAUUUUACAUUUAUCAUUAUGAGCUAACCUUAUUUCCAUUAUAGUGCAUUAUUACUUGCUGCUAAGGUUCAAUCUAACUCUCACUUUGCUUAUUCUCAUUCGUAAUUCGUUUUAUUAUUUGAUCAUUUUAUUAGUAUCCAUUGAUUUUCUUGUCAAUUGUCACACUUGUCUCACCUUGUUUAGUAGAGACUUCAUUAUAGGGCUUAGAGGGGUGAUACAGUCUUUCGUCGUACCUUCCUGAUAAGUAACCUGAACCUAGACCCUUCUCUAUUUUCACAAACCGUCUUUUCCAAAUAAAGAGUCACGCUUAUGGUUUUCUUUUCUAUUUUGUUUUCCCUUUAAAAAAUAAAACAAAAAUAAGUGGUGACUCCAAGCCUUUUCUAAAAAUCAUAUUCUUCACUGAAUAAAUAAAAAAACAAGUAUCACCGCCGAGUGGGAACGCACGUAAAAAAUGCGAGGUCCACAAUAUUUUUAAAAUAUUAUUAAUAUUAAAUUUUAAUGAAAGUUUUAUUAAUUACUUUUAACAAUGUUACUAAAAUGUUAUAUUAUCAAUAAUAAAAUAAAAUAGGAAAAUAAAACUAAAAAUAAAUUUAAAUUGUAAAAAAUAUUUACUUUUACUUAAAAUUUAACUUAUUCAAUUAUAAAAUAUAAAAAUUAAAUUAAAUUUAAAAAAAUUAAAAAUUUAAAAAAUAUAAUUAAAAGUCUCUUAAUAUGUGUGGUUUCUGUUUUUAAUUCUUUUUAAUAAAAAUAGAAAUGGAAAAAUGUUAAAAUAUUUUUAGAAAAAUAAAUUAAAAAUGUGAAAUAAAUGUGGAAAUCAAAAUAGGAGAGUAAAAAAGAAAAAUAAUAUAUAAAAAUCAAAGAAUCGGAAGGAUAGGUCCCACAAACGCAUUAACUUUUCGUGAUCUCCUUCAAGCUAUUUUUGUUUUUCACAUUUCACGUCCUAGUACUAAUUAUGCUAAAUAUGUGGAACUAUGCAAUAUAAGUUAAGAGGGCUAAGAUAAAGAAAACAAAUUUGGAGGAUAUUUUAUUUGUUUUCUACAAGUUUUUUAAGUCAUGAAUAGUCAACGUUAGUUAAGGGGUGUCAAUAUAAUUUCAUAAACCUGAGAAGCUAAAGUGAAAUUCUGGAUACUUUAGGGAUGCCCGUGAUUUUCUCUUCAAAGAUAUAAGGAAUUAAAAAUUUGUCCUCAUUGUAAUAUCGAAAUUUAAAAUCGCAAACACCAUUUGAAAAAUGUAAUACUGAAACUUUGAAAAUGAUUUUAAAAAUAAAUCGAUGAUAAUAUAAAAGUAUUACUUUUUAAAAAUAAGGAAAAUCAUUUAAAAAAGGGAAUGUUUGAAAUAUUUAAAAAUAUGAGUUUUUUUUUUUUUGAAAAGUUUUCUACUAAAUUUAAAGAUUUAUAAUAAUAUUAAAUAUUUAAAUAAAUUUUUAGUACAAUGUUGAUCCAUGGAUUUUAUCCAUAGAUCCUUGAUAUGUCACAAAUUUUGAUAUAAAUAUAAAUUUUUAUAAGUAAAACACAUGAAAUAAAAUGGAAAGAUAUAAAAAAAAAAAUCAAAACCCUUUUUUUCUAUAAAAUAUUCCUAUUAUCAUGAAAAAAUAAAAAUAUAAUUAAAAAUGAAACAUAUUAUUUGAAAAUUUUGAAAAAACAACAAAUAUAUAUAUUGUGGACCCCGUAUUUUCGGCUUAUGCGUUUUCCACUCGAUGGCGAGCUCGAUUUUAUUUCAAAAAUGAUUUUAUUUAUUAGAAAAUGACUUGAAGUCGCCACUUAUUUUUAUUUUAUUUUAAAAGGGUAAACAAAAUAAGAAAGAAAACCCUAAGUGCGACUCCUUAUUUUGGAAAAGGUGAUCUACGAAAAACUGGAUCGGGUUCGGGAGUCAGAUUACUUAUCGGGAAGGUACGGUAAAAACCGUAGCACCCCUCUAAGUCCCUAAAAUCGGGUCUCUACUAAUAAAAUAAAGUUAACAUGACAAUCAAUAAGAAAAUCAAUUAAUACUCAGAGCGAAUCAUGCACAUACGAGAGUCAAAAAAUGCAUAUAGACUAACCAGAUUGAGAAUGAGUGCGUACCUAGGCAACAAACCAUCAUGCGCUAUCAAGAGAGGGGGGGUUAGUGCACAAUUAAAGGAUAAUCUCAUGCAUGUCAUAUAGCAGAAUAAAUCAAUCAUAUAUGAUAAUCAAAUCAAUCAAUCAAUCAAUCAUAAAAAACAUAUAUGUGGGGGCCUCACCAAAGCCCGUUUAUUUUUGCAUGAAUUAAUUCCAUAAAUUCCAUUAUUCGGAAUUACAGAAUUUAAUUCACAAUUAUUUUCGAAAUGUUUUAGAAAACGUUUUUCUUAAAAAAACAAAGAAAAUGCAAAAAUGGUUUGCCGGAAGGAAAAUGGCAACCAAAUUUCAUUGAAAAAGGGGUUUUGAUAUCUAAAGACCCUAAAAAUGGAAAUUUUGAUGAUUUGAGGAUUAAAAUAGCACCCUUACUCUUCAGUUCAUUCUCUAGUAGCUAGUAGCCGCCUGUGGGUAUUUCCACGUUAACUUCUUUAAGUAAUCAUCACCAAUAAUCUCCUGCAGUUCCUGACUUGCUCCUCAAAUAAAUUAGCUCUAAGCUCUCUGCCAAAGUUCGAACUUCCAUUUGUACUGCAAUCUACUUGAGCUAAUUCUUUAUAAUUCCACAAGUCAAUGCUAGAGUUGUUUCCGGCUGAGAGAACUUUCAGCAUAUCAACUCACAAUACACAGGAUCUCUUAAGCUGGUUGAGGGCUUUCAAUAUAUCUUUCAUGUGAGAAAUCAAAUCAUUGAAUUCCUCAGGAUCAUGGAUGAAGCAGCUCGAAGCAAGCAUGGAGAAGGUCUUGUCUUCCAUGUCCUUUGCAAAUUUGAAUGUGGAUAUGCAGUGCUUAAGCAAGCAUACUUGGGCUACUCCUCUUAUUCCUGUGUCUAAGAGAAUGGUGAGCAUAUGUAUAAGCCAGGUAGCUGACAAAAAAAACAUGAUGGAAAUAACUCUGGGUUUCUGCUCUUGAGGCCCUUUGCCAAAGCUUCAAACGACAAACCAGACUCAUGGCUGACUAGAACAAAUGCCAUUUUUCUCUCUCAUUCGUUAGUCACCUGCUUUUUUUCCAAAUUUUCUUCAGACUCCCCAAAACUGUUGCUGAGUUGGUCCACUUGCAUUAGAGUUAUAUAACUUUUGUCAAGUCUAGCAUGUUUAAGGAGAGAAACCCGGGUGAUGGUUUUUCCAGACAAUGAGAACCUCCCUUGCAACGACACAAUCUCUUUCCUCUUCAUCGCAUUCAAAUCUAUGGUUUGCUGACAAAUGGUAUAUAUCACCUUCAGCGGAUUCAAAUAUGCACCGUGAAUCACCAAUGGAAGCAACAAUUACCACCUAUCCUUCUAUUGUAAUAAAGGUAAUAGUUAUUCCUGAAGUUUGUGCUUCCUCUUGGAAGUCCAUGUCUGUCUCAACAAACCCUGCAACUGAAGUCCUAGGCAAGAUAGCUACCCACUCAUCUUUGCUAAGUUCUGGAGGAAUAGCAGCUAAAACAUCGUUUAGAAGGUUCUCUUUUGAGUACAAAGUAGCUGCGAAUCCAUUAUGUCUAUCGAACAACCCAAAAACCAAAUAUGUAGAAACCCCAUCUCCAAUCAUCCUUUGGCACUUCGUCUUGAGUAAAAUGAAGUCCUCCAUUUUCUUGCUUUGGCUGACCCUGUCCAUGUAUAAUAUCAGGUUUCUCAAUCUUCUCACUGAUCAACUCCCGCUUCUACAGCACCGGGAGCGGGACAGUUUGAUGCUCACUCCUGGUGAUGAGUCUGCCCAAGCACCAUUUCACUCAACUUCAUUUGCCCAUGGAUUUUGAAACUGCACCAGCUUGUGGCCAUCUACUUCUCUUACUUGCAAUAAUGAGCAUGCAUGCCCUUGCACAAUGCUCCUGGGAGAAACAUGCACAUCUGAGCCUGAAGAACUCCCAGCGCCGAGUAUAACUCCCUUUUGCUUGAAACCUCGAUAGCGACGGAGAGGGAACCCAACUCUAACAUUCUCAUCAACGUAACCUUGUAUACAAUGCCAAACCUGGAGCCGUCAUGAUUGCAGGAAGCAGAAUGAUGAUCGCUCUGAUCUAAGAUGGAGUUGCUAUGCUUUUUUCCACAAUGGGGAGCAACAUCUUUGAUAGGCGAGGAAGAGGGCAUGUGAUGUUGUUGAACUUGGGCAUGAGAAACGACAGCGUCCUCCUCAGUGUUGGCACGGUACCCAGACAGGAAGAACCACUUUGAAAUGGGUAUAAAAAAAAGGUAGUUUUGCCAAUUGUAAUCAUAUUAUGAGUGGUCAUUAAGGGGAUUACCCAUUCCACAUGAGAAUUUUCAUGAUUUCUUUCUCUCUGUGCUGUUCCGAACACUCAUCUUUACCCUUGAAAUCAGUGCACUUGGGUCAUCAAUUGAUUAACGCCCUGCUAACAAGACUUACAUCAAUCCCAAGAGUAUAACCGUUACUCACCACAUGAAAACAUCCAUCUCCGCACCUACACUUUGAAUUUCCGUACCCAGCAACUCCUUUGGAAAACUAACCUGAAGAUGUUGAACCAAUCCCUCAUCCUCCAACAUUGUGUUUGAUGGGAUACCAAAGGGGUGCCCUAACAAAUUCCGCUCUGAAGGCCCAGGAAACAAUGAUCACCGGUUCACCAUCUCAACAAAGAUACAACCCAUGGACCUCAUAUCAACAGGUGCAGAAUAGUGGCAUGAUCCAUGCAACGCAAUAAUUUGGCUCUAUUAAAGAAACUGUAUACUUGGACCAGCGUUCCCAACUCUGGCUGUUCAGGAUCACCAUCAUAGUCAAACACGUGUUCUUCAAUACCAAAUGCCUUCUCAAUAUCUCCAUUAUAAUAUCGCCACCUCCUAUCGACCCACUCUCACAAUAAAGAGGUGGGAAUGCGGACCCAUUUGAGAAGACCUUUAAACCUUGUCUUAUCUCCUCAUCAGUCAGAACAUAGAAAAAGCCAAAACUUGCUUUGUCUGCCCUUAGGGAUGAAACCACACCUAGAAUCACCGAGGGUACCCUUCAUAAAACGGAAAAAUAGACUUGAAUUAAUCAAACCCAUCAUGGAGGUUUGGGUCACACUCAAGACAAUGGACUCAGAGAUGCCGUCCUCAGAAACUUCAAUCUCAUGACCUCUGAAAAUCUCUUUCAAUUCAUCACUCUCACGCAUUUGCAAACUUGGGAAAUGAGGGGGUCCAAAGAGGUCAUACAUGCGUCAAAGAGGUCAUGCCUGCAAGUCAUAUGUUUAAAGGAGAGAAGAUGAGGAAAUUUGUGGUGAGCAAAGGUAGAAUAAGUGGAGGGGGUAAUGAGAGGAAAUGGGUUUAGUGGAAUUAGAAAAAAUAAGACAAAUGGCGAUAUAGGUAUGAUGAUAACAGGUGAUGUAUAGAGAAUGGUAGGGUUAUGAGUGUGCACGCAUGGGAACCGAAGUGCAUGGAGAAUAGCAUAACCAUGCAUGGACAUGCAUGGCCAUGCAAAGGUGGAAGGAAUGAACGUGAAGGGUACUUGAAAGAGAAUAGGUGGGUGGUGUGGUGUAGAGAGAGAAAUGGGUUUGAUAAGUGUGAAGGAAGAGAUGGCAUUGAGUAGGUAGGGAACGGAUGAUAGAUGAUGGGUAAGAGCAUGGAAACGCAUGAGGGGUGAGUAUGGUACCCCCCAACUACAUUUUCCAGCCGUUCUGCCUACUUGUUGGCUUGGGAAAUAAUCAACCAUAUACUCAUAAGGAUGCCUAAGCAUUAACCCUAGUUUCAGUGUCUUUCAUUACUCCCACAGUUGCGACCGGAGGAUGCUUCAGCGUGGUAAAGCCACGAAGUACUCUUGCCAUGAAUAAAUGUGUAGUGUCUUUCGAUACUCAACCACUCCUUUAACCUCGCCACCCUUGAAUAGAAGCCCUGCACUUUCAGACCCAUCAACAAGCGUCUCUUCUCUGCUUAUCGGAGAAAACAACCUCAGUUGUAGCAUAUCACUAACUAGUGCUAGUGAUAGCUUUGUAAACUGGUAGGAUAUCUGACACGGAGAACAGGUGGUAAGUCGCGCUGAUUGGAGAAGAGGGUCCUAGUUAUCUUUGAAAAUCUUCCCAAAUGAGAUCAACUGAUAACGUAGCCCAUAUAGUGCCCAUUGAUCCUGCUUGAGAACCUUGACCAAAGAUACUUGGGAAUAGACUCCAGCAUAGGGCACAAUUCCAGAUCGAGUGCGUCAAAUAAGAGUAACAAGAAUGAACAACAUCUAGGCCGAGAGAGAAUAAAAAAAAGUAAACAGGCAAUAUAAAAACCAAGGAAAAGCUAGAUCUGAUGCUCCCUCAAUGAGCCUGGAUUGGUGGGGAAAAAGGCAUAGCAAAUUCAAACAAGAAGAUGGAACAAAUAUCUUCAUAUAAAUCACCAUGAAACAGAGCUUCACUAGAUUCAAACAAAUAUUCAAAAGAACAGUGAAUGAAGCAAUCAAUGAGCAUAUAAACAAGCCAUAAAUCGACACAACUCAGGUAUAACUCCUAUUUAUUCAUAACCAAGCAUACAAACGAAACCCCAAACAACCAGAGGAGAAAGAGAAAACCAGUGGUAGUCAAAAUAAAGCAGAAGAUACGCGAUGACCUUACCUGAAUGCUCUCUCAAGCAAAAACAGUUGGAUCUCCCAAAACCUCCACCUCUCUCUAGUUUCCUGGUCCUCUCAGCAACUCUACGCUCAUCUGUUCUUAGCUUCUUUCAGGAAGAAUACCUCCCCGUGACUUGUUUUUCUUCAGCUCAAGAACCCUCACACCUCUUCCCUCCCUCUAGCAAAAAGCCCCCCAGAAAAAGAAAAGUCCCCCCUCAAAUGGAAUACCCUCUCUCCCUCUUUAACUUCCCCUCAAGUAAAAACAAUACCUUCUUCCCAGCAAGAGCAGUUUCCUCUUUUGAUAACCAAUACUCUCUUCUCUCCCAGAUUUGCCCCCCAAAAAUAUCUCCUAACCAACCUCAAAAGCAACUCUACUCUGCCAGAAUAUUCUCUCUCUCAUCCGCUCAUCCUCUACAGCAGCGAAAACACCGCCUCCCAAAUAACGGCCUACAACCUUUUUCCAAAAACUUCUUUACACAUGUCAACCUCUUGUUUGCUCUUUGAUUCCACUACCUGAUGUCAUAGCAACCAGACAGGAAUCGACACAUGGCCACUCACAGCUGCGACACCUGGCAAAAAGAGCUGCGAAAAAAAUGCAUGAAAGUGAGGCCCUAAAAUGGGGGUUUACAAAUAUGCCCCUCUUCGGUAGAGCUCACGAGUGUAAGGAAUAUGAACACUAGAAUGAAAAGAAAAGUGUGAAUAGUGAGUGGAACAAAGUGAACUCUACCAAAAAACAAAUGAGACCCUAAAAGGAUGCCAGUGAAACACGAACUCUCUCAAGCCAAUAGGUGAACAAAAGGCUCUAACCCUAAAAGAAAAUGAUGUCUUAAAAUGACUCUGAAAGCCACACCGAAGACUCAGGCUUCCUCUAAAACGUCUCCAAAAGUGACUCGAAAGACCAGAUCAAAGAUAAAUAACGGUUGAAACACUCUAAAGAAUGAAACAGACUAUGCCCCAAAGGAGACUACCUGAUCUGAACUAUAUGAAAAUGACAAAUGCAGGGUGCCUAACAACACGAUCAAAGUAUGUGUCAUGAACUCAAGAGACUGUGUCAUGUGUAGUGGAACAGGAAUCUGGACGAGCAAUGAUGAAUAAGCGAUAAGCACAAGGUGACUGGGUGAGGUAAGUAAGGGUGAAUGCCAAAAUCAUGACAAUCAGAUGCGCAAUGCCAAUGAAUACAAAUGUCGGGGACCGUGACCCUAGAUGAUAUGACCAAGGAGAAAUGAAUCUGAACGUCAACAGGGGAAAAGAGUGUGGUGACUCAAAAUGCAUGAAUGGGUAUGUUCGAUGGCUCUGAACGCCAAAACUAAAAAAAGAAGAUGAUAGUAGCAUUGAAUGCCGAACAGAAUAGUGGCUCUGAACGUCGAACGAAACCAAGUAGUAGCUCUGAAAGCCGAACGGAAGGCAAGUAAUGGCUCUGAACACCAAAUGAAGGCAAGUAGUGGCUCCGAACGCCGAACGAGGCAAAACAUGGCUCUGAAAGCCUGAAUGAAGAUAAUAAAUGGCUCUGAACGCUGAAACGAAGAUAAGUAGUGGCUCUGAAUGCCAAACAAAGAUAAGUGGGGUCUCUGAACGCCAAAACGAAGAUGUAAUGGCUCUGAACGCCAAAAUGAAAAUGUGACUCUAAAAGUCAAACUGAAGACCGAUGAUGUCUCUGAAUGCCGAAACUAGGACUGUGACUCUAAACGUCAAACUAGGAAGUGAUGAUGAUGACUCUGAACGUCAAACUGAAAACACGAUGAUGGCUCUGAAUGCCAAAACUGAAAAUGCGACUCUGAACGUCAAUUUGGAAAGUGAUGAUGAUGACUCUGAACGUCAAACCGAAAACACGGUGAUGGCUCUGAAUGCCAAAACUAAAAAGUGAUGGUGGCUCUGAACGUCGAAACCAAGAAUGCGACUUUGAACAUCAACCUGGGAAGUGAGGACGACUCUGAACACCAAAACUGAGAAUGCGACUUUGAACGUCAAUCUAGGAAAUGGUGAUGGCUCUGAACGCCAAACUGAAAACACAGUGAUGGCUCUGAACGCCGAAACUAAAAAGUGAUGAUGGCUCUGAACGCCAAAACCGAGAAUUGCGACUCUGAACGUCAAACUGAAAAAUGCAACUCUGAACGUCAAACUGAAAACCGAUGAUAACCCUGAAUGCCGAAAUUGAAAAGCGACAAUGAUGACUCUAAACGCCAAAACUAAGAAGCGACAAUGAUGGCUCUGAACGCCGAAACUAAGAAGCGACAAUGAUGGCUCUGAACGCCGAAAUUGAGAAGCGGUGAUGGCUCUGAACAUUGAAGCUGAGAAGCGGUAAUGAUGACUCUGAACGUCAAACUGAAAACACGAUGAUGGCUCUGAACGCCGAAACUAACAAGUGAUGGUGGCUCUGAACGCCGAGAACUGAGAAUGCGACUCUGAACGUCAAACUGAGAAAUGUGACUCUGAACGUCAAACUGAGAAAUGUGACUCUGAACGUCAAACUGAAAACCCAUGAUGGCUCUGAAUGCUGAAGCUGAGAAGCGAUGAUGAUGACUCUGAACAUCAAACUGAAAACACGAUGAUGGCUCUAAACGCUGAAACUGAAAAGUGAUGGUGACUCUGAACGUCAAACUAAAGAAACGGCUCUGAACGCCAAACGGAAAGCAACAAUGAUGGCUCUGAACGCCGAAAUUGAAAAGCGACAACGAUGGCUCUGAACGUCGAAAUUGGGAAGUAAUGAUGGCUCUGAACGCCGAAACUGAGAAACGGUGAUGACUCUGAACGCUAAAACUGGAAAAGUGGCUCUGAACACCGAACUGAACGUGUGACAUGAUGACUUUGAAUGUCGUAAACCGUGAAUGAAUGGUGGCUCUGAAUGCCAAACUGCAAGGAAAUGAUGAGAGGGAAAUAUGCCCUAGUGUGGCGUGCUGCUGCAAAUCUUAAUCCACUAGAAGGGUCUGAAAGAGACUCCAUGGGUCUUGAAAGAUGCUCUACUAGCGAGUCAGGAUAAACUAAUCGACUGUGAACACAGUCUCACAACACUCCCAACUAAAUCAUGACGUCUCAAUCUCAAAGUAACAAUCCACUGAAGAGUCAUGGCUAUUAGGGCGAUCAAAACCCGAAUGUCGUGCUCCACUGAAAGCUCAUCUCGACGAACAUCAUAGGAAUAGUGGUGAAUAAGGCGAAUAUAAUAUCUCUCGGCCGAGUGAUGAAAACUGUAACGGAUCUGUGAGAGAACGAUCGCCUCCACAGCUAAAGGAGGGAGAUAUGCCCUAGUGUAACAUCAAAUAUAUCCGAUUCGUCCUGAUAACCCAAGAGGAACUCCAUGGGGAUGCGUAAAAGAUCUGAUAUGUACCCCACCAAAAUGAUGACAUGGGAAUCCAGGCACCCGAGAUAACUCAGUCCAAGAAUCACGACUAUACCAAAAACCGUGAAUUUGGUUGAAGGACUCAAGAGAGGCUCCUCGAGGCACCAGGACACAAUGACUUCAAAUCAUCAACCUGACGUGUAUCUUAUGAUCGGGAAUGAUCAUGCAAACCAGUGGGGGAUCUACAAAUCUUGACUGAGAUGGAGAAUAUGCCCUAGUGUGGCAUCGAAAAUGCGACAGGUCGGAAAAUCAGAUGAGCCGAAAUCAUCCAUGUCUAUAACCGAAUUAGGCCCACAAAGCAAUGAGGCGUCUCUCGGAAAGAAGUAUGACGACAUCUAAGUGUCGAAAAGUGCGGGUCUAAUUGGAUGGCUCCCGAAAGGCUCCACUAAGGAA